rnacentral:lncRNA from 1 species
GCACGGAAAGUCGGAGGCCGACCGGGACGAAGCUGCCGCCGUUGCUCGCUAUCAAGUCCUCGACCAAUGGGAACCGGGGCCUGAGGGCUGCGCGCUGUCGUCCCGGCCGCCGUAAAGCCCACACGAGGACGAGGGCCGGGGAUGAUAGCACGCAGGAGUCUAUCCAGGCCCCAAGCCGAGUGUGGGUCUACAAGUAAUUGGGCUCUCGAUCGCCUCAAAAGAAAAAAAAAGUAACUGAGCUCAGCUGGAAUGCAGAUUUUGAGCAUGCGUCGGAUUCGAUCCGAUGCUAUGUAGUCUGUACUCUCUCCCCCUUGCCAAAA